rnacentral:rRNA from 1 species
CCUACGGGUGGCAGCAGUAGGGAAUCUUCCACAAUGGGCGAAAGCCUGAUGGAGCAACGCCGCGUGGGUGAAGAAGGUCUUCGGAUCGUAAAACCCUGUUGUUAGAGAAGAAAGUGCGUGAGAGUAACUGUUCACGUUUCGACGGUAUCUAACCAGAACGGCACGGCUAACUACGUGCCAGCAGCCGCGGUAAUACGUAGGUGGCAAGCGUUAUCCGGAUUUAUUGGGCGUAAGGGGAACGCAGGCGGUCUUUUAAGUCUGAUGUGAAAGCCUUCGGCUUAACCGGAGUAGUGCAUUGGAAACUGGGAGACGUGAGUGCAGAAGAGGAGAGUGGAAUGCCAUGUGUAGCGGUGAAAUGCGUAGAUAUAUGGAAGAACACCAGUGGCGAAAGCGGCUCUCUGGUCUGUAACUGACGCUGAGGUUCGAAAGCGUGGGUAGCAAACAGGAUUAGAUACCCUUGUAGUC